AUACCCGCAGCCCAAGUGGUGGUCGAUAUUAUUGAGUCUAAAACGUUCGUAGCCGGUUCAAUAAAUCUCUGGGUAAAUCGGAGGGCUUAACCUUCCGAAUUCCGGAGAGACUGUUGAACUUGGGACCGGGAGAGGCAAGAGGUACUUCUGGGGUAGGGGUAAAAUCCUGUAAUCCUAGAAGGACCACCGGUGGCGAAGGCGUCUUGCUAGAACGGAUCCGACGGUGAGGGACGAAGCCCUGGGUCGCAAACGGGAUUAGAUACCCCGGUAGUCCAGGGUGUAAACGCUGCAGACUUGGUGUUGGGAACCCUUCGGGGGUGCUCAGUGCCGGAGAGAAGUUGUUAAGUCUGCUACUUGGGGAGUACGUCCGCAAGGAUGAAACUUAAAUGAAUUGGCGGGG
rnacentral:rRNA from 1 species